rnacentral:snRNA from 1 species
GUGGUCACUUUGGCAGAACAGAUACUAAAAUUAGAACAAUACAGAGAUCAGCAUGGCCCCUGCGCAAAGAUGACACACAAAUUCAUGAAGCGUUCCAUAUUUUA